AUGAACGCUGGCGGCGUGCCUAAUACAUGCAAGUCGAGCGAACAGACGAGGAGCUUGCUCCUCUGACGUUAGCGGCGGACGGGUGAGUAACACGUGGAUAACCUACCUAUAAGACUGGGAUAACUUCGGGAAACCGGAGCUAAUACCGGAUAAUAUAUUGAACCGCAUGGUUCAAUAGUGAAAGACGGUUUUGCUGUCACUUAUAGAUGGAUCCGCGCCGCAUUAGCUAGUUGGUAAGGUAACGGCUUACCAAGGCAACGAUGCGUAGCCGACCUGAGAGGGUGAUCGGCCACACUGGAACUGAGACACGGUCCAGACUCCUACGGGAGGCAGCAGUAGGGAAUCCUCCGCAAUGGGCGAAAGCCUGACGGAGCAACGCCGCGUGAGUGAUGAAGGUCUUCGGAUCGUAAAACUCUGUUAUUAGGGAAGAACAAAUGUGUAAGUAACUAUGCACGUCUUGACGGUACCUAAUCAGAAAGCCACGGCUAACUACGUG
rnacentral:rRNA from 1 species